GCAUCACGUAGAUGUCCACAAGAAUUCACUUGCAGAAUACAUUCUUAGGAAGGGACAGAUGGUGUGUUCCUUUGAGAGAUGAGACAAAACACACAGGACCAAAGAAACACAUGAC